AAGCCAUGGUGAGGACACUUGACCAACAAAUUCUUGAAUCACCCCCAGGCUUAAAAAAAUGUCUCAUCUGCCAAUUGAGUAAAUUGCAUAAUCUUGUCUCUCAGUUC